GAACGCCGUGUGCGGUGAAAGUCGCACGCACGGUGUGGAGUGGGGGAAAAUUCGGAGAUAACUUCAAAGAAUUACCUAUCACUAU
rnacentral:ncRNA from 1 species